rnacentral:rRNA from 1 species
GACGUAGGGGGCCGCGUUGUUCGGAAUUACUGGGUGUAAAGGGUUCGUAGGCGGUGUGGCAAGUCGGGAGUGAAAUCUCUGGGCUCAACCCAGAGUCUGCUUCCGAAACUGCUGUGCUUGAGUGUGGGAGAGGCGCGUGGAAUUGCAGGUGUAGCGGUGAAAUGCGUAGAUAUCUGCAGGAACACCCGUGGCGAAAGCGGCGCGCUGGACCACUACUGACGCUGAGGAACGAAAGCUAGGGGAGCAAACAGG